rnacentral:misc_RNA from 1 species
UUCUAAAUGGCGGAAUUUAUCUGCGCAUGGCGGACUGUCUGUCUUCCAAGUCAAUCACACUGCGAAAACAAACAACACUUUACGGAAAACGAAAGUGAAAGUAGAAAUAUUUAUUUCUUAAACAAUGUUAUACGUGAUAGGCUUAGGCCUCGGUGACGCUAAGGACGUGACAGUCAAGGGUUUCGAAAUAAUUCGCAAGUGCGAUCGCGUCUAUCUGGAGGCCUACACGUCGGUACUGACCGUCGGGCAUGAGACUUUGGAAAAAUUUUAUGGCAGACCAGUCAUUGUUGCUGACAGAGAACUGGUCGAGAGCGGGGCCGACGAGAUUCUGGCCGAAGCGGAAGUAAAGAAGGUGGCUUUCCUUGUCGUUGGCGAUCCAUUCGGAGCGACGACUCACACGGAUCUGGUUCUCAGGGCGAGAGAGAAGGGGGUGCAAGUUCAGGUCGUUCACAAUGCCUCUAUAUUGAAUGCAGUUGGCUGCUGCGGUCUGCAGCUAUACUCCUACGGAGAAGUUGUCUCGAUUCCUUAUUGGAUAGAGAACUGGGAGCCAGAUAGUUUCUACGAUAAAAUAGCGACGAACAGGGAACGUGGUCUUCACACUCUCUGUCUUUUGGAUAUCAAAGUAAAGGAACCCACUCUGGAGAGCAUUCUGAAACGGAAAAAGGACUACAUGCCUCCGAGGUUCAUGAGCGUUGCCGAAGCUGCCGAUCAGCUACUGAAGAUUGUCGAAAGGAAGAUUGAAGCUGGCGAAAAAGGUUUAGCUUUCACUGGCGACAGCCUGGCCGUGGGAUUGGCGCGCGUCGGGGCCGAUGAUCAGCGAAUCGUUGCCUGUUCUCUGCGCGAAAUGAUAGAGGCAGAUCUCGGGCCACCGUUGCACUGCCUUGUUGUUACAGGUCCGAUUCUGCAUCCGUUGGAGGCCGAAUAUCUUCUUCAGUAUGCGACGGACAAGGAAAAAUUCGAAGAAAUGACAAAACAGAAGGAGAGCCCAUGACGUGAAUUUCAGCGUUAGAAAUGAAACCGUGCUUGAUGUUGCAGAUGACGUGAAAACUAUGUGUCGAACGAUGCGGAGAUAACGAGGCGUACGCCGGACGGUCGGGUGGUAUCUUGCAAUACCUUAGCAUAUCAAAUUACCUACGCAAAUCCAUCCGUCACCCCGAAAAGACGUCGGCGUUGGCUAGGGUCGCGUGCCAGGUCACCGAGGUCAAAAGCAGUACCGGCGAUCCAUACGGAUCGUAGUUAUCCUCCCAGGUGUGGGUGAACGAGCAGGCAAUCGCGAACACUCAAACCCUUGCUCAUGUUACAUAGUGUUAUCGAUUUCAGGGUAGUAGCGUGGCUUGAGCAGCUCGCGGUCGCCUUUGCACAAGUCCGAAGUACACAGGCACGACACUCGCUCUCUCUGCAAUCGAUG